UGGCAAAUAAGAAAAAACCCGUUUUUAGACUGACAAUGUAUUACAAGUUACUUGAGAAGUUCAAUAUUUCUCUAGUGAUAAAGUCCUUUAAUAUUACUUGCAGACAUUCCUUCAGGAGUUCUUUAUUUUACACUUCCCUAAGCACUUGUACACACAUAAUUACCUCAUUAAAAAAGAAACAUUUUAAAAAUCAAAAAGGUAAAAACAAAAAGUCCAUGAAAACGUCAUCGCCUUAAAGCUAUGAUGUUUAUCUCAAACACUGAAGAUAAUUUCAAACACCUAAAUAUCCAUCAACAACACAUUUCUAAAACAGAAUUCUAUAAAAAAAUGUCCAGUGCAAUACUAAGAUUGUGAUAAGACAUACUUGUUUACAAUACAUUGGGGGGGGGGGGGAGAACCCGCCAAACAAGAUAAUCACAUUUUACAAAACAUGCAUGUUCAUCUAUGCACAAAGGGG